UGGAAGGCUGGAACGCGCGGUUGUGUCAAAUUGGGAAAUACGGUCUAACCCAGCGCUCGGCACGUUUCCCAGAGGGAACCGGAAACCAACUGCCCUCGGGGAUUCUGGGAAAUCUGCUUCAGGCCGCGACUUCCGUUCUCGGGGAUUCUGGGAAGUGUAGUUCCGAGGUCCUGCGUCGCCCGGAGCACUUCCGCUGUGCAGGUUGAGAUCGCGGCCUUGGUUCCGUUCAGGGCGGCGUAGAGGUUGGUGUGCCUGGACCAGCGUCACAGCCGGCGGAGCGGUGGCUUCCUCACAGAAUCAGGAGUCGUAUGUCCAGAACGUGUGUGUGGCUCGGCGGCUCAUUCACUGCCAGGAACCGUGGGGGUGGGGAGUGGUGUCUGGAU